rnacentral:rRNA from 1 species
UAGGGAAUUUUCCACAAUGGACGAAAGCCUGACCCAGCAACGCCGCGUGAAGGAUGAAGUAUUUCGGUAUGUAAACUUCGAAAGAAUAGGAAGAAUAAAUGACGGUACUAUUUAUAAGGUCCGGCUAACUACGUGCCAGCAGCCGCGGUAAUACGUAGGGACCAAGCGUUGUUCGGAUUUACUGGGCGUAAAGGGCGCGUAGGCGGCAAUUCAAGUCAUCUGUGAAAUCUCCGGGCUUAACUCGGAACGGUCAGAUGAUACUGCUUUGCUAGAGUGCAGAAGGGGCAAUCGGAAUUCUUGGUGUAGCGGUGAAAUGCGUAGAUAUCGGGAGGAACACCUGUGGCGAAGGCGGCCACCUGGUUGGAUACUGACGCUGAGACGCGAAAGCGUGGGGAGCAAACAGGAUUAGAUACCCGGGUAGUCCCUGAGCGGGCUGGCAAGGCGCAU